rnacentral:lncRNA from 1 species
GGGGGCGGGGGGCGAGGGAAGCGGGCAGCGCCACGCCCCCUCCCGCUGCGCCCAGGCCGCCGGCCCUCGCGCCGCAUUCGGCGCCACGCGCGGCCCCGCCCCGCCUCGCGCGUCACGCCCUCUGCCGGGCCCCGCCCGCCGGCUGGCGCGAGGCGGCGGGGGGAGGGGUUGGCGCGCUGCGGGGAAGGGACCGUUACGUCUCCAUGGCGGCCGGCGGGACGGCUCUCUGCUCCUACUCUGCCGGCCGCCGGGCCCGCCGCCUGCGGCCGAACCCGCCUCGAGGUCGGCAGCGUUCGAGGGGAGAAGUGCGUUUAGAGAGCACACAUGGGGCUUACCCAGCUGCAGCAGCAGAAGAGAGCCCAGCCCCAGCACCCACUGAGCAGCAGAGGAUCCUGCCCAUCCUCCCAAAUUUCCAGUUCAGAACAUCCCUCACAGGGGCGCUUCUGCAGCAGGUGCAUGCACGAUGCUGCCCUGCGGUCUCCGUGAACCAGCAGCAUCCACUGCCUCUCAGGAUAUGGGGUGGGUUACAUCACCCAUCCCAGGCAGCAGGCUGUGCUGGAGGCCUUGGGCAGGCCCAGCACCAACUCAGCAUCCUGAGCUUAAAAGUUGCUCCGAAGAUGCUGUUGGUUCUUGAGAAGCUUCCAGAUGCUACCUCCCAGCUUGUACUUUCACUCUAAUCAUCCUGCUGUUGUUUGGUGACUUUUUUCUCCAUGCACAACUGGAGGUUCUUGUAGAGCCCAUUCACACAAACACAAAUUUUGUGACAAAGUAUCGUAGAACAGAUUCCUAUAUUUUACUUUCAUGUUUGGGAAUUCCCACUGCUGUUCUGAGUGAGUUACCUCACUUUUGGGGGUAUUAAGCAUGUGCAAAGGCAGCUGAAACAAUUAAAAGUUUCUUAAUUAUUCUGAAAAUCUGUUCCUUUCUUUCUUAUCCCUGCUAGUCUGUUUCUGUUUUAGUGGUAACACACAACUUUGUGUUACUUGUCACUGCCAUAGCAGAUUGCCGAAUUGUCCUUUACACAAAUCCAGAGUUUGAUUUACAAUUUGUGGUUGUAACGCAGGCUCAAACUCAAAUGGUGAGGUACACAUCAUCUUUUUAGAUCUUUUGGCCCCAGCCUUCUUGGGUUCCUUGAAACAUACAAUUGUUGUUUAACACAGAGGUUAAGAGCUUAAGAAUGGUUUAAUAGUCAUAUCUGAAAUAAAGAUAAAUCAAGUUGUCA